AGAUUGAACGCUGGCGGCAUGCCUUACACAUGCAAGCCGAACGGCAGCACGGGAGCAAUCCUGGUGGCGAGUGGCGAACGGGUGAGUAAUACAUCGGAACGUGCCCAAUCGUGGGGGAUAACGCAGCGAAAGCUGUGCUAAUACCGCAUAAGAUCUACGGAUGAAAGCAGGGGAUCGCAAGACCUUGCGCGAAUGGAGCGGCCGAUGGCAGAUUAGGUAGUUGGUGAGGUAAAGGCUCACCAAGCCUUCGAUCUGUAGCUGGUCUGAGAGGACGACCAGCCACACUGGGACUGAGACACGGCCCAGACUCCUACGGGAGCAGCAGGUGGGGAAUUUUGGACAAGUGGGACGAAAGCCGUAGACUCCACGCCAGUCGCCGCGUGCAGGAUGGAAGGCCGUUACGGGUUGUAAACUUGUCUUUUAGGUAACGGAACG
rnacentral:rRNA from 1 species